CCGGAGGUAGGGUCCAGCGG
rnacentral:snRNA from 1 species